rnacentral:rRNA from 1 species
GACGAACGCUGGCGGCGUGCUUAACACAUGCAAGUCGAACGGAAAGGCCCUGCUUUUGUGGGGUGCUCGGGUGGCGAACGGGUGAGUAACACGUGAGUAACCUGCCCUUGACUUUGGGAUAACUUCAGGAAACUGGGGCUAAUACCGGAUAGGAGCUCCUGCUGCAGGGUGGGGGUUGGAAGGUUUCGGCGGUUGGGGAUGGACUCGCGGCUUAUCAGCUUGUUGGUGGGGUAGUGGCUUACCAAGGCUUUGACGGGUAGCCGGCCUGAGAGGGUGACCGGCCACAUUGGGACUGAGAUACGGCCCAGACUCCUACGGGAGGCAGCAGUGGGGAAUAUUGCACAAUGGGCGGAAGCCUGAUGCAGCAACGCCGCGUGCGGGAUGACGGCCUUCGGGUUGUAAACCGCUUUCGCCUGUGACGAAGCGUGAGUGACGGUAAUGGGUAAAGAAGCACCGGCUAACUACGUG